rnacentral:rRNA from 1 species
UACAGAGGGUGCAAGCGUUAUCCGGAUUUAUUGGGCGUAAAGCGUUUCGUAGGCGAUCUUAUAAGUUAUCUUUCAAAGACCACGGCUUAACCGGGGGAAGGGAGGUAAUACUGUAAGGUUUGAUUUCUGGUGGGGCUUCUGGAACUGAUGGUGUAGUAGUGAAAUACGUUGAUAUCAUCAGGAACUCCGAGGGCGAAGGCAGGAAGCUAAUCAGUAAAUGACGCUGAGGAACGACAGCUAGGGGAGCGAAAGGG